UAUCAGGAGUAGAGAUCACAAAACGAAAAACUUUGUGUCAGUAACAUGUCUUGAGGAGCUAAUCGGAGUUGCUGUGGGUCAUGGAAUUUGUCAGGAGGGCAACAUACAGGUGUAUUUAAUGGAUGAGUCAUCACUUCGCUCUAUGGGUGCUGGUGCUGAGAAAUACCUCAAUGGAAUUUUCAUUGUUAAAAAUGGACUAUGGAAACAAGAUCAGUCAACAUGUGUGAGUGCACCUUCACCAAUCCCACAAAUGCCUCUGCUCUCACGAAUUUAUUACCCUUGGGAGAGCCUCAGCAAGACAGUACUUGAUGCAUUGGAAG